UACGAAGGGGGCUAGCGUUGCUCGGAAUCACUGGGCGUAAAGCGCACGUAGGCGGACUCUUAAGUCGGUGGUGAAAUCCUGGAGCUCAACUCCAGAACUGCCUCCGAUACUGGCAGUCUCGAGUGCGGGAGAGGUGAGUGGAAUUCCCAGUGUAGAGGUGAAAUUCGUAGAUAUUGGGAAGAACACCAGGUGGCGAAGGCGGCUCACUGGCCCGUAACUGACGCUGAGGUGCGAAAGCGUGGGGAGCAAACAGG
rnacentral:rRNA from 1 species